GAUGAACGCUGGCGGCGUGCCUAAUACAUGCAAGUCGAGCGAACGGACGAGAAGCUUGCUUCUCUGAUGUUAGCGGCGGACGGGUGAGGAACACGUGGAUAACCUACCUAUAAGACUGGGAUAACUUCGGGAAACCGGAGCUAAUACCGGAUAAUAUUUUGAACCGCAUGGUUCAAAAGUAAAAGACGGUCUUGCUGUCACUUAUAGAUGGAUCCGCGCUGCAUUAGCUAGUUGGUAAGGUAACGGCUUACCAAGGCAACGAUGCAUAGCCGACCUGAGAGGGUGAUCGGCCACACUGGAACUGAGACACGGUCCAGACUCCUACGGGAGGCAGCAGUAGGGAAUCUUCCGCAAUGGGCGAAAGCCUGACGGAGCAACGCCGCGUGAGUGAUGAAGGUCUUCGGAUCGUAAAACUCUGUUAUUAGGGAAGAACAUAUGUGUAAGUAACUGUGCACAUCUUGACGGUACCUAAUCAGAAAGCCACGGCUAACUACGUG
rnacentral:rRNA from 1 species